rfam:Anaerolineaceae bacterium 4572_5.1 ex4572_5.1_scaffold_26641, whole genome shotgun sequence.
AAUAUGAGAACGGUUUCGCCAUAGACCGCCGGUGCUUCCAAAAGCUUAAUUCCCGGCCGAGGUGAAGAUUUUGAUUAACGUAUGAUUUUUAAAGUCUUUAUCUUGUUGGCGAGGUAAAGACUUUUUAUUUAUGAAC